rnacentral:misc_RNA from 1 species
UUGUUUUCUUUUUGGUAUGUUUUCCUUCGGGACGUCCGCGUGAGACGGUGCACAUGUGUGGGUUUUGUGAUCUCUAAUGAUCCUUCCGCAGGUUCACCUACGGAAA